rnacentral:rRNA from 1 species
UACUCGAGUGGCGAACGGGUGAGUAACACGUGGGUGAUCUGCCCUGCACUUCGGGAUAAGCUUGGGAAACUGGGUCUAAUACCGGAUAGGAGCCAUCUUUAGUGUGGUGGUUGGAAAGUUUUUUCGGUGUAGGAUGAGCUCGCGGCCUAUCAGCUUGUUGGUGGGGUAAUGGCCUACCAAGGCGGCGACGGGUAGCCGGCCUGAGAGGGUGUACGGCCACAUUGGGACUGAGAUACGGUCCAG